GACGAACGCUGGCGGCGUGCUUAACACAUGCAAGUCGAACGGAAAGGCCCUGCUUUUGUGGGGUGCUCGAGUUGCGAACGGGUGAGUAACACGUGAGUAACCUGCCCUUGACUUUGGGAUAACUUCAGGAAACUGGGGCUAAUACCGGAUAGGAGCUCCUGCUGCAUGGUGGGGGUUGGAAAGUUUCGGCGGUUGGGGAUGGACUCGCGGCUUAUCAGCUUGUUGGUGGGGUAGUGGCUUACCAAGGCUUUGACGGGUAGCCGGCCUGAGAGGGUGACCGGCCACAUUGGGACUGAGAUACGGCCCAGACUCCUACGGGAGGGAGCAGUGGGGAAUAUUGCACAAUGGGCGGAAGCCUGAUGCAGCAAAGCCGCGUGCGGGAUGACGGCCUUCGGGUUGUAAACCGCUUUCGCCUGUGACGAAGCGUGAGUGACGGUAAUGGGUAAAGAAGCACCGGCUAACUACGUG
rnacentral:rRNA from 1 species